AUGCAACAGAACUUUGAAAAGAGAGUUAAAGAGUACCUGAAAUUGCUGAAAAGGAAGCGAAGGAAACCAGUGCUAGCUGCGUCAUACUUCCCCGUUCGCUUGCGGUCGGGGCGCUGUGGCCAGCGUUGUCAGGCUUGGCUGGGUUGGGCGGAAAUGCGCGUAGGGAGAUUAGACCUGCGUGUGUCUGCGUUCGACCUGCCUGAGGUUGACGAAAUGGUUUUCUUUUUCCCGUCUUGAAACACGGACCAAGGAGUUUAACAUAUGUGCGAGUACAGGGGUGGCAAACCCCGGUGCGCAAUGAAAGUGACAGUGGCUGGACGCCAGCAAUGGCCGCACAGUCCGCCGGCCACAAUCCCUCGGGAGAACGGUCUGAGUGUGAGCAUACAUGUUGAGACCCGAAAGAUGGUGAACUAUGCCUGAAUAGGGUGAAGCCAGGGGAAACUCUGGUGGAGGCUCGUAGCGAUUCUGACGUGCAAAUCGAUCGUCAAAUUUGGGUAUAGGGGCGAAAGACUAAUCGAACUAUCUAGUAGCUGGUUCCCUCCGAAAUUUCCCUUAGGAUAGCUGCGAUCGAUUGUCAAUUUUAUCA
rnacentral:rRNA from 1 species